rnacentral:rRNA from 1 species
UACGGAGGGUGCAAGCGUUGUCCGGAAUUAUUGGGCGUAAAGAGCUUGUAGGCGGUUUGUCGCGUCUGCUGUGAAAUUUCGGGGCUCAACCCCGAACUUGCAGUGGGUACGGGCAGACUAGAGUGUGGUAGGGGAGACUGGAAUUCCUGGUGUAGCGGUGAAAUGCGCAGAUAUCAGGAGGAACACCGAUGGCGAAGGCAGGUCUCUGGGCAACUACUGACGCUGAGAAGCGAAAGCAUGGGGAGCGAACAGG